ensembl:lncRNA
GUGAGCGAGUAUGUCCGACAGUGUCAGUCAAGGGGUUGAGGGAGAGAAGGGGAGGGUGAAGGGUAAGAGAAAAGGAAGGAGGUGAGAGAGACAGAGAGAGAGAGAGAGAGAGAGAGAGAUAGACUGCUGUGAAACAUGUGAUAGUGCAACUUUGGCGGGGCUUAGAGGGAGUUUAACGGCUGUAGUGUCUCCAGAGCUCUGGGAAAGCACCUUUAGCCCAGAGGGAGCCUCACAAGCUGUCUGUGUGUGUGUGUGUGUGUGUCUUUUUGUGCGUACGUGAAAGUGUGUGCUUCUGUGUGUGAGUGAGAGAGCCGGUUUUUCAGUGCUGCUGCUGUCACUUUAAGCCUGUUACUGAUUACACUCAGAAGAAUGCAACGGGAGGAGGCUAAAAAGACAGGGAAACAGAUGAGGAGACAUGUAAGGAUGAAAUCUCUCAGAAGCUGAGCUAUGGCGAGCUUUAUGUCACUUGCCCUCACGGUCCUGGGCAGUGACGUGGGUGAGACACCGUUACCCAACAUCGUCUCUCCCUCCCUCUCUCUCUCGUUCACUCUCUGUUGGACCAAGCAAAGUCAAAGUGAAAGGGAACCCGGAAUCCCUCUUUGAAGCAGAGACAGAGCGAGAGGACGCCCAGAAACACUGGGAAAAACUUAAAGAAAAGACACCAGAGAGGAAGAAAUUCGAGUGGAGGUUGAGGGAAGGGGUGUGCAUAUGUGGGGGGGUUCCCUCAUUCCAAACUCAGCGCUGGGAGGAAACACUACUCUCACCCAGACGGGUUUGCUGAUUUUGCAUGGAUUGUCCCAGAUAAAUGACCGCGAGCCAUUCCCACAAGAGGGCUCAGCGUUGGGUCGGCACGGCGGUGGCUCUGUCUGUCAUGCCUCAGGGCUAAUGGGAAAGAAUGACAGGAAUCUGCAACUGAUAAUGCCAUGCUUGGAGAUGUUCGUCAGCAGAUUAUCUCCUAUAUCCUUCCCCUCCCUCAGGCUCCUCAUUUUCUCCCGCUUGAUCUCGUCUCUGCAGUUUGCCCCCUGUGCUCUUUCCUUUGCCUCUACAUAUUUGCAUCUUGCACUCACACCUUCUCCUUCUUUCUUAUUUUCCUUUUGUUGUUUUACAUAAUUGGUCUGUCCCUGAGAUCUGUAUGUGUUCAUAAUGGACCUAUUUUCUGUUUCUCUUCACUCUUUCUUCAGAUGGGGUCCAGAGUCUCCCCACCCAGACACGACUAAACCGGCCAGCCUUCGCAGUUCACGCCUCUCUAGCUGCUGUCAGUUGCUCAGUAGGCAGUGUAGAUCCUGUGUAGCAAUCAGCAGCUACAUCUGGCUACUGGGUCUCUGACAGUUCUGCCUACUUCCCAGUCAAGCUUGCUCGUUCCUCUUCCUAUUGGCUAAGUGACACAUUCCAGUCCCCGCAUUGGCUGCGAUGUCAGGGGGGCUCCAUCCUGUGACCCCACAGACAGGAUGUUCUCUGUGUCACAACUCCACAAGGGCCCCUUGUCAAGGCUUUUUUGUGUUGGUUUUUUUUCUUCACUCCUUCCUCCUCUGUCAUUCUUCUUUAAAUUCUCACUCAUUUCGCCUUCUCUCCUUGGCCUCUGCAAGAUUCUCUUAAUAUGAAAUGUCCUUGGUUAUAAAUAUUAAAGUUCUGUGAGAGAAAUUUAAAGGAGCGUAUUUUUCCAAAGGAAAAGCAGCAACGUGUAUUUGAAAAGCCCUUGGAGAGACCUUUGCUUUCGUCCUGAACCUGGCAUACAAUGUAGAUUUCUGUGUGGUUCAAUUCUACAGCUACAUUGUCUGCUGGGUUUCUGGCAAGCAAUAUAAGCAGCUCUUAUAUAAUCCCACGGGCGCUCGAAAAGGUAAGCAUUCAUCUGUUCUGUCAAUGUGGCUCAAAUGCCUGACCCUGACAAUUCAAUAAAGAGAAAAUAUUUCAC